ACGAUGACAACUUUCCA
rnacentral:sRNA from 1 species